CCUACCCGAUACUCACAUUGUUUAAGUAAUUUCCAGUAACAUCCACGUCGAUGGAUAGUACUUUUAAAACAACUACUCGAAGUAUUUCUUUUCAUUUGAAUUGCUUUCUUCCACUCACAGAAAUUGUUUUCAUAGACUGUAUGAAGAGAGAAGCUUCUAGAUAGGGGUUUUCAAACAAACCCAAGGAAAUGAGACAUCCAGUUCCCAUUGGAUCUGGAUGGCAUGUGGGCCCCUGUCUCUCUUAGGCGCCUUUGAAAACCCCACCCCUAGUUCGUAAGCACACCAGUAUCUUUUAAGGGGGAACAGAAUGUUUCUGGAGUCAGGGUAUACAGACUUUGGGUAAGCACAAAAGUCCACCUGCAGCUUCUCUAGCUGCAGCAUAUUAGAUACCCAGCGGAAACCAGGAGGUAAAAAGUCUGGGGAAGUUAAAAUAACUUAACCAAAUUUCCAGACGUUUCCUCAGCCCUUUGGAAAAACUCACCCCCCACUCUCAGAGACACCCUAUCGGCGUAACAUUAAUCUAUUCCCAUUUCAGGAAAGUUCCUGAAGGAUUCAGCAAAAAGAAAAGGAGGACUUGUGGCGCCUUAGAGACUAACCAAUUUAUUUGAGCAUAAGCUUUCGUGAGCUACAGCUCACUUCAAGGAUUCUGGUUAAUUAUCGAUUCAACACUGCCGCCACAUGGCAGCUGUGCGAAUUGCAGCGCAUAAGCAGGUAACAUAAGCUUGGUCCUUUUGGAUGGUGCCUCUCCUCCAUGCUGGACCAGGAGGCGCGGUAAAUGCAGAGAAAAGACAAAUAUUCUUCAGCAGGCAGAGCGUGAAGCACUGGCAAGGCUGCUUUUGAAUCCGGGUUUUGUUGUGUUUCUAUAAGUUCGAGGUUCUUUUUCUUCCCAGCCCAUGAAAAUUCGUCUGCUCGCGGACUCUGUCUUCUGAGGGGCUCUGCCUUGCAGCUGUGACGAAUAUAAAGUGACAGUCCGGGAUCCACAAAUCCUUUAAACCCCCAAAAUUCAUUUUAUUUCUCAGACUUCCCCUCGGUGGUUUUAAUUGCUAUUCACCUAUCGCCACGGCCCAUUGCUGGGGAAAUCUUAAGAAAGACACUUUUCCCGAAGACAAGUAGCUUGAGGUUGAUGCCAUAGACAGAGAACAGGGAUCCAGAGGAGGGAUGAAAAGAUCAGAGUGACACGGAAAACCAAGGACAAGGGAAAUGGUCUUUGCAAAGACGUUCUGAAUAGAGGUCCCUGCUGGGCUCAGGGUCACCGUGUCACCGCCUGGCGCAGGAACAGCCGGCGGUGUCUGCAGCUGUCAGCGAGCGGAGCCGCAGGUACAGCUCGUUGCUGGAAGU